rnacentral:rRNA from 1 species
AGAGGAAGGAAAGCUUGCUUUUCUGAAUCUAGUGGCGAACGGGUGAGUAACACGUAGGUAACCUGCCCAUGUGCCCGGGAUAACUUCUGGAAACGGAUGCUAAAACCGGAUAGGUAGCAGACAAGCAUUUGACUGCUAUUAAAGUGGCCUUGGCCAUGAACAUGGAUGGACCUGCGGUGCAUUAGCUGGUUGGUGAGGUAACGGCCCACCAAGGCGACGAUGCAUAGCCGGCCUGAGAGGGCGGACGGCCACAUUGGGACUGAGACACGGCCCAAACUCCUACGGGAGGCAGCAGUAGGGAAUUUUCGUCAAUGGGGGGAACCCUGAACGAGCAAUGCCGCGUGAGUGAGGAAGGUCUUCGGAUCGUAAAGCUCUGUUGUAAGAGAAAAACGGCACUCAUAGGGAAUGAUGAGUGAGUGAUGGUAUCUUACCAGAAAGUCACGGCUAACUACGUGCCAGCAGCCGCGGUAAUACGUAGGUGGCGAGCGUUAUCCGGAAUGAUUGGGCGUAAAGGGUGCGUAGGUGGCAGAUCAAGUCUGGAGUAAAAGGUAUGGGCUCAACCCGUACUGGCUCUGGAAACUGAUCAGCUAGAGAACAGAAGAGGACGGCGGAACUCCAUGUGUAG